GACGAAGGUGGCUAGCGUUGCUCGGAUUUACUGGGCAUAAAGCGCGCGUAGGUGGUCGUGUAAGCGGGGGAUGAAAGCCCAUGGCUCAUCCAUGGAACUGUUUUUCGGACUGCACGGCUCGAGGAAGGAAGGGGAGAAUGGAAUUCCCGGUGUAGCGGUGAAAUGCGCAGAUAUCAGGAGGAACACCAAUGGCGAAGGCAGCUCGCUGGGACGGUACUGACGCUGAGGCGCGAAAGCUAGGGGAGCGAACGGG
rnacentral:rRNA from 1 species